GGCCCGCGUAUCGCAAAAAAUAACCACAAUGCAGAUACAUUUCUUAAUAGGUAUAUUUAUGUAAUUUAAAAAGUAAUAGUUGGGUUUUAGUAACAUUUGGAAGACCAUAUUCCAGAAUAAUAAUUUUUAAAGGCUAUUUAUUGAAUACUUACUGUGUAGCAGGUCCUAGGUUAGAUGCUUUGUAUCUGUUAUCACUAAUCCUUAGACUAAACAACUCUGUAGGAUGAUAUUCUUAUACCUAUUUUACAGAUAAGGAACCAGAGACUUAAAAAGUAGGGCAGAAUUCUAAACAGAUCUGGCCCCAAAAAUCCCUGCUUGUUUUUUUUAAUGUCAAAGACUAGACAAAAAUGCUGAUUUCAUAAAAUGAAAGUAAUUUUUUAAAUCUGUAAUUGUUAAUUUUAACUAAUAAUCACAACUAAAAUCUUCCCAUACUUCAAAAUUGUCUGUUGCCCAGGUGGUGGCAGCAUGUCUCAAAGAGUUAGUGUGGUGUAGAAGGUUUUCUCCAGCCUUGCCAGUUGAUUUGCUUCUUCAUCCCACAUACACGACCUAUCUAUCAAUCUCUACUUCUCUUUUGGGCACUUUCACUGCUAUUAGACCAACCCAUCAGUGAUUCACUCAACUUUCCACCCUCCCUUCAGCUUCAUCUUCUGAAUGGGUCAUACUCUGCCAGUUUGCUUUCAGCCUAUUUUGCCUACAAAGAAAGCAUCACCAAAGUAUUCUGAAAAAUUCAUUUAGGCCUAUCCAGUAACAUGCCUUUUGUUUUUUCAAAUAUUGUUAUUUUUCACCCAUUGUUAAAUGUAAUUUGGCAAAAGCACAUCCUAAAUGAAAUAAUUGGCUAAUAUUAUUAUGAAAUACUUGUCUAAAUUAGAAGGCAUGCUUCUUAAACUUUAUGGGAUAUACCAGUUAAGGAGGUAAUGAAAAGCUUUUAAAAGAUAGAAUUUAUCUUCAAAAUAAGAACAAGAAGAUUCAGUAGGGAGCAGUGAAAGGUCAUAUAAUUCAGAAGGAGAUAUACAUACGUGUGUGUGUGUGUGUAUCAGAAUAAUUAGUUAAACCUGCCUUAGCCAAAAAUUGCUUGGAACAUUAUCUUUGCAGGACUGCUACCUUCCUAGAGGUUUCAAAUCAGAUGAUACCUCCUCACAAAAACCCUCUCUACCCCUAUUUUAUUUUUCUCAAAACACUUCAGUCUGACAUCUUGUUUAUUGUUUAUUUUUUCCCACUAGAAUGUAAGCUAUAUGAGAUCAGUUACCACAGUACCUAGAAAGAAUAUUGUUUUGAAUAAUUGAUUCCAAGAUAGAGCAUUGCCACUUACAAAUAAAACUUAGUGUUUGAAUGAAUCAUGAAAUAAUCUAAAUCCUGGGAACUUGUAAAGCUCGUGUUAAAGUACCAAACAGUUAUUGUAUGUUUUGAAAGUAAUAAGGGUUGCCUCAGUAAGAAUAGGUCUAAAGAUUAGUAAAUAAGAUGUUAGGGAAAGAUAAAAAUAAUUGUGGUUAUUUUGUUAAUGAAAGAAAACUAGUUGCUUAAGUCUUUCCAAGUAUGUAAAAGUAUGUUAAAGGAACAUAGUGAUUCAUCAUCUUCAUUGAUAAGAUAAAAGGAAUUAGUCCUAGACUGUAGGUGCUAAGAUUUAAGAUAAGAACAAGCUAGACAAGAGAUCUAAAUAGAGAUCUUUGAAAAUGGGGUGUGUAUAUGCAGGCUAGAUGCCCUCUCUAGAUAUUUCCCAGCUUCAGAUUGCAAAAGAAAGAUUAGAUAGCAGAUGCUUCUCUUGUUGAUUAUUCCUUGCUGCCUAUGGCCUUUUCUGCACGUUUAAGAAACAUUUCAGUGUGUUUGAGUGAUAUGUAUUGCUGCUUUGGGUACUUUAUAGAAGUCUUUUCACAUAAUAUUAAAAAUUGGGUGUUUCUGCUUUUUUGAACACUGAAACUAUUUACAAUUCUGUAUCUCCAGAAUGUACUAUACAUGCAUAUGCAGCAAACUAAUACCCUGUAAUUAGAGGGCACCCUUUUGGAAGGGUAAAGUUUCCAGUAAAUUCUUCUGAAGCCUUGGAUUGCAGUCCUGUUAAAGUCAUGAGAGACAGUAAGCUUUCCUGCUGAAUCUAGAAGUUCAAAUAUUAGGCUUAUCCCUAAAUGAUGUAAUAAUAUUAGCCGUGUCAAGUCACCUUUAAUUUCUGUGCUAGGGUCUCGUAGCCAUUAAAUAGGAGUUGCUAUCCAGUUGAGAAAACUAAUCCACGUAUAAGAAUCCUUCAGUGUAUAUAGCUGAUUCACUUUGUUAUAAAGCAGAAACUAACACAGCAUUGAAAAGCAAUUAUAUUCCAAUAAAGAUGUAAAUAAAUAAAUAAAAAGAAUCCUUCAGUGUAAAAACAAUGUGUAUUGCAAAAGCAGCCCCUAGCACCAUCACCUUUGCUGAGUAACAUUUUAAUUUUAAACAUUCCACCUUCACCUAAGCAAGCUACUUGAAGUAACCAUAUCAAACAACCAUAUUUGCUGUAUGAUAUUGUCAGGUAUGUUGUCCUCUGUGUCAUACAGUGCCCUUUAUAUAAAGUCCCAUAUAAGAUAUUUUAGAAUGUGAUUCUAAAAAAUGUUUUGGAAGCCACUUUUUCAUAGGAAGAAUUUUGCCUGUCUUUGAUUUGACCGGAAGCUCAAGAGCCAAAUUUGAAAUUCAUGUUUAACAUCCAUCCUGACUUGCAUACUUGCAUUUCUUUUUAAAUAUAUUUUUCCUAGGACAGAUAUUUUGUACCUGUCAUUAUUGUAUAUGUUCAUGUAGUAAGAUUACUCCAGUCCCUGGUGAAAUAAGGCACAGUAUAUAUACUAUGCCUGUAGAUCAAGCGUUUGAAACCCAGAACAUUACAAAGAUGUUUGAUAUGUAACAAGUAGUUAUUUGCUAGUAAAAUUCUUCUACUGCUUCUAACUUUUAUGUUUAUUUUAAAAUCUUGUACUAUAAUCAUAUCAUUCAGAACUAGGGAACAUAGGAAAUCAUUGUGUGGAACUGCAUCCCAAAGUCUUAAUUCUGAAAGCUAUCUUGUGCCUUUAAUAGCCCUCAGAGUAUAAUGUGUAUAUUUGGAAUCUAGAUUUAGAAGUGAACAAAAAUUUACUGGUGCCAGGCUAUAAAUAUAGUUCCCUAAACCAUCAUUUAGACACAUAUCGUAGUCCCAAAUUCAUAAAUUGCUUUUGCUGAGUUCACAGUUUAUGUUUUUACACUUAAGUCAGGAAGUGAAACAGUCUGAAAUCCAAAAACUCCUUUCUGAUUCACAUAUGUCCCCUUGAAGUGUAAUAAAUAAUAGUGGUGCAUAUGAUGAGUUUCUAGAGGCUUUGAAUUUUUCUUAAUUGUUAGAAUUGACCUUGAUCAACUAAUUUUCUGUUCUCUGUAAUAAGAUGAUAAUACCUGCCUUCAUACAGAAAGUUGGACCAAUGUCCUCCUGAGAUUCUUUUCAUCUCUAAGUUUCAAUAUUCUAUUGUAGGACUUACUGCAGUUGUAGACUUGUAUUGUUAAUGAGUAUAGGUGUAUAAGAAUCUGACUUAAUCUCUUGUUCUAGGUUCAUAUUUGAUCAUGUUGUGUGGACCAAAGAAAUAAUUUAAUAUUUUUGUGCCUAGGUUCCUGUGUCCAUAAAGUAGAAUUAAUAAUACCUGUUUUUUGCAAUACUAACUAGUUAAUAAACAUGUAGCCUCUUUUUUAUAAGAGGUUGAAUUCUAUAGAAUUCAUUUGUAAAUUGAUUGUUGGGAGCUUACACAGAUUCCCAGGGAAUUAUGUUAUAAAUAGUGGUUAUUUAUGGCUAUUUGACACACAGCAUAAGUGGAAAGAGUGUCUCUGCAUAAAAAUGGUAGAAGAUAAUUCUCAAUACUAGUAAUAAAAUAGUAAAAAUUAAAUGAAAUUUUGAUCCCCUGUACCACAGUAAGAUUUUAUAAAAAGUGAUAAUGAUUGUAAAUAGUGAAAAUGAAUUUGUCUGAGUCCAUUUUUUUUUCAAGUUUUUAUUUCCUACACGAUGUGAAUGCUUUGUCAGCACUUUCUGACCAUCUUACCAUAUAUGCAGUCCAGGAAUCACUGUUGCAGUUGUUUUCAAGUCUGCUAAACCUUUUUAUACCACAAGAAACUAAAGCUACAUAUGGGUCUAUAAAUUAUUCAUGUGUGUAUGCAAUGCAUAUGGAAUAUAUUCAUAUACAGUAAUCUGUGAUGUGCCCCUCUCCCCUCCUUACUGUCUGUAGAAUGAAGUACAAACUCCUUAGAGGAGUGUAAUGAUUCCUACCAGUCUGGUCCCACCUGCUGUGUAAAUUUUCGACAUGAUAGAGGACCAUUUAUUUCAGACCUCUGCAGCUCUAAGAGAUACCUUCUUACUGCAGUGGUUGACAUAUAGACUGGAACCAAACUACCUGGUUUGAAUCCCAGUUCUGCCUCUUGCUAGGAUGAAGAGAUGGCUAUGAGAAUGCACCUCACAGACUCCCGCUCUAAGGAGCUUAAUUGUCCAAGGGCCCCAGCUGCUGUGCUCAGAAAUCCAUCACUGUUUUGCUAACUCUUUGCUUCUUUCAUAGCUCAGUGACUGAGCGUAGUAGAGAUACUAAGGCCUGCUUCUGGGAGACAGAAGACUCCUCUCAUGGCCAAUGAGUGGUCAGGGACUCCUCCAAUUGUCUUGCCAAGCCUUCCAUAGGCUACACUGCAGUCUAGGACACUUCUACCCAGUCUUCCUCCCCUCUCUCUUUCACUUGGGGUCAGACUUGCAUCAUGGUGUGACAGUUUACCCAGUCUUGCCCAGCUCCUUCCCCAUUUUCUCUCACAGAUAUUUCCUCUAAUAAAAAUCUUACACAUUUAAUCCCAUCUUGGCCUCUGGGAUGGUAAAAGUGGGAUUCAGAACAGGUUCAUUACCUGGCCAGAAGAUGCCACCCUGGUGGGUAGAUGGGGCACUCACCACCCCUGGCGUAAAGUUACAGAUAAAUUGUUAAGGUUUCACCAGUGUUGACUUGAGACAAUGUCCUAGUGGAGGGGAACUGUGGUAGGUGUGAUUAUGCAGUUAUUUGAAAAAUAUGGGAGGAAUAAUACCUACAAAGAAAGAGUUGGCUGAUUACUGCUAAGUUGUAUUGGAGCACUGCUGAAGGAAAAUGAGAAACAGAGCUGUUAACAAGCAGUUAACAGUUAACAGCUAAGUGUGAGAGCUGUAGAGCCUCUGUGGUAGCUUAUAGAGAGGGCCUUGUCACCAUUGAAAGACAAGACUUGGUUGAACUGCAAGCUGAUUGUUGAUGUCACAGAGCUCCAAAGACAUUUGAGCAUUGAAUGUUUUGCCAGGAUGGGUCUGUUAACGUGAAGGUGGGGAAACCUAGAAUCCUAAACAUUAGAUGGGGUCAUCCAAUGGAUGCCCCUGUGACUCCUGGACUCUCAGGGCUUGCAGUGGUAGUAACCUUUCUCUAGUGAGAACUAGAAUAUUUGCUGUGCUGGAAGAUGCUGAAGAAGCCCCUUGCCCCCAAGGCAGUAGCCCUCCUCCCCAACACUGCCCUCCUCUUUCUUUCCCGGCUGUCAAGCCAAUAAUUAACCAAUAACAAAUCCAGUCACUGGUAAAUCCCAGCAUAACCCAGCUGGGACAUGCUGGGCCUGAUAAGGAAGGAAAGAGACUAUUCUCCUAAAAAAUUCCAUGGUUUAACUGACGUUACUGGCAGGAACCAGGAAAGGACUCCUGGGAUUGGAUUUUAAAGGUGUUUUUUCAAAGGGGUGAGAAUAUGGGAUUAGAUGAAUAAGAAAUCAUUGACUUGGGCGCACUUUCUCAUGUAUGGGGGAUUUAACACCCCAGCAAGAAUUCUGCUAUAGACUGAAUGUGUCUCCCCAAAAUUCAUAUGUUUAAACCUAAUCCCCAAUGUGAUUUGGAGGUUAAGAGGCCCCAGAGAGCUAACUUGUCCCUUCUGUCAUGUGAAGACACAGCAAAGAGACAGCUGUUUACAAACCAGGAAAUGGGCUCUCACCAGACACCAAAUCUGCAAGCACCUCCGUCUUGGACUUCCCGGCCUUCAGAACUGUGAGAAAUAAAAGUUUGUUGUUUAAGUCACUCAGUCUGUGGUCUUCUGUUAACAGUAACACAAACUAAGUCAGACCCUAGUGUUCAGGGGAAGCUUGCUAAUAAUGGGAUGGCUUUUAGAAAAAUACAGCCAGUUCUCAGCAAAGUGAAAAAUGUCUGAGUAGUACUGGCAGACUAUAGAGGAAGGAAUAAAGACGCUGAGCAAAGUGGGCAUGCCAGAACAGAAGACGCAUCAGAGGAUUAUGCUCCAUGAAUGUGCCCAGAGGAUACACCAUUCACCCAAGGCCAUCAGGAAAACAGUGGUGAGAGAGGCACCAACAUCACUAAGAAGUUUGCAGGCCAGGGAUGGAGGUAAGAGAAGCAGCCACAGAGCUGGCUCAUUAGCGUCCAUGGGAAUAAUAGAGCCCUGAAGAAAAAGAGGCCAGGUGGUGUUGCUUAACUGGCAGAAGCUAGAAGGCCACAAUUACCAUAAUGACUGGCAAGGUCAUUGCAGCCAAAGGAGCUUGACUCAAAGGAGUUGUGGAGACGGCUAAUAGAGAAUAGUCUCCCUAGGGGGAAAAUAGAUGGGCAGUCCACAAGGGUGCUCAUUAACGUCUGUUACUAUAUAAAGCAAGAAUAGAGGAGCUGGAGGCUGAGGGCAGUAAUUGCAAUAAAAAGUCAUGAUUCCCUUGCUUAGUUCCCAGACCUAAGACAAUUUUCAGAUCCAGAACUGAAUAUAUGAAAUAUAGGUUCAUAUAGGAAAUAUGAACCUAGUUCUUCCUCCUAGGAAAUAUAGGUUCCUAGGAGGAAGAACCCUACCACACCAUGGCAAGUACAUAAGUGCAUGGCAAUUCUUCUCAAAGGACUCUAGGGCUAUCUAUUUGAGUGACCGUACCCUGGGGAAAGAAUAAUCGGGUAUUUUGAAGACUAUUGAUCACGGAUCAGCAUUGAUGUUUAUACCCAGAGAUGUAAAGCAACAUCACAGCUUUACUGUUAGAAUGGGAGCCUACCAGACCAGGUGUUCUUGCUAAAGUUAGUCUCACAGUGGGCCCACUGGGUCCAUGGACCCACCCAGUGGUCAUUUCACAGUCCCCAAGUGCAUAAUUGGAAUUUAUAUUUGUGGCAGUGGGAGUAACUGCUGCACUGGUUUCCAGGUCUGUGGAGGUAGGAGUUAGCAUAGUGGGGACUGCCAAAUGGAGCCCUCUGUAACUUCCCAUCGCUCCUUCCAAGAUAGUAAGUCAGGCAAAAUAUUGUAUCCUAGGGCAAUGGUGAGGAUUAGUGCCACUGAUCCUUUAAGACCUAAAGGACACAGGGGUGCUAAUCCCAAUCCUAGUUUUUUGAUUUACCAGUCUGGACCCUAAAGAAACUGGAUGGAUCCUGGAGAAUGACUAUAUACUAUGGAUUUAACCAAGUGAAGACCCUGAUCACAGUGGACUUUCUGUGCUGGACUCUGGUAGAACAGAUUUAAUAAGGGCUCAGAUACAUGGUAUAUCACUGAUUUGGCUAUACUUUUUUUUCCAUUCCAACUGGAAAAGAGUAUCAGAAACAGUUCACAUUCAUGAAGAACAGUCAGCGAUAUUCAUUUAGACUGAAUUUUGCCUUGGGGCUGUGUUAACUCUCCCAUCCUGUCAUAAUAUGAAGAAAUAUGGACCACUUAAAUAUCCCUCAGAACACUACUUUGGUCCAUUUUACUGACAACAUCAUGCUGACUGGACACAUGAGCAAGAGGUGGCUAGUAUGCCGAAGACCUUGGUAAGAUACAUACACUCCAGAGGAUGGGAGAUAAACACUAUGAAGCUUCAGGGACCAGCCACUUCAGUAAAGUUUUUAGAGGUCCAGCAGUCAGAGGAGUAUCAGGAUAUCCCCUCCAAAGUGAAAGACAAAUUGCUGCCUCUUACAGCCUUUACCACAAAGAAGGAGGUAGGGCACUUUGUAGGCCUCUUUUGCUUCUGGAAUCAACACAUUCUACAACUAGGAAAAGCUCUGGCUUAGGUACCAAGUGACAUGGAAGGCUGCCCCCUUUAAAUAGGACCCAGAACAGAAAAGGGCUCUGUGACAAUUCCAGGCUUCAAUGCAAGCAGCCCUGACUAACAGUUGGACCAUAUGAUCCAGCAGAUCCUAGUGGUGUCAGUGAUGGGAAAAGAUGUGGUGUGGAAUUUAUGGCAAGUCUAGUGGAAGAAUCAUGACACAGACCCUUGGGAUUCUGAAGCACUGUCAUGCCAUCUGCAGCAGAUAAUUGUAUGCCCAUUGAGAAACAGCUCUUGGUAUAUCACUGUGCCCUGAAGAGACUGAACACUUGACCACGGGACACAAACCUGUCCAUCCCCCCAGUCCCUAUCCAACUGAGUGACAGAUUUUCUAACUCCAUCAUUCCAUCUAUAUUUAUUUGUUGACAUUCUGAUAAAAGGAAAUGUUUCCCUUCUCCUUCACUCAUUUAUUUAUAACAGAUGGAUUCAUGGCUUCUUGGUUAACAUUAAAAUCCAUUACCAUCAUUAUUUAUUUUGAUGUUCUCAUUGUCCUAGAUUUGAUCAAUGGGAGUGCCAGGAUGUGUCCUUUGUGUGUCAGGAGCCCCAGAUGUGUCAUGUCCUCAUCAUUUAAGCCCUUUCUUACUUUUUGGUACAACCAGAUGUUCUCAGCUCAUCUUUUACUUUCCCUGCCCCAGCCCUGGAAUCAAUCAUUUCUUCAAGGAGCUCUGCUUGCUUUUCAUGGAAAAUGGUAUCCAGGAACCAUGAGCUGAGUGCUAGGUUUGCUCAUUGCUUCUCAUGUGUCAUUGCUUGUAGUUCCUCUCAGCAGACGAAUAUGCAUACAAAUAUCUAUAUCUCUGUACCUAUUAAAAACUACCAGGUUAUACUGGUACCAUCAAUUCCAGUCUAUCACUACUUUUUAGUCUUCUGUUUUUUCAUAUUUGUAACUCCAUCAACAGAAAGAAACCUGGCUACCAUUAUCCUCAGUAUAUUUACUCAUUUGCUCAAGGUUAGAAUGCGUGAAAGGUAGUUUUAGAAUUGCUAACUCAUACUACUGUGGGGGGAAAAAAAAAAAAACUUACUAAAUUUUUAGAUGACCCGUCUGUUUUCAACCAGCCUUUCAGUUUGGCAGCUAAAAAGCCAUCUUUUAAGUAAGAUUAAUCAGUUCAAACUUAAGCCCCAAAUAAGUAUGUCUAGGCCAUGAGCAUUGAAUGGCUCAGGGAAUGAGUGGUUAAAGGGCUUCGACAGUCCAGGUCACUAGCAUUAAUCCUCAUGGCUGCUGUAACUCACAGUGGUUGAAACAAUUGUUUAUGUUGGGUAAUAGUAGCUGAUCAUGGCUUUAUCUUCCAUGUCUUAAUAUAAUCAAGUCAUGAAAAAUUGCUGCUUCAGCUAAAGGAAAGGGUGGAUUUCCCCUCAGUGGUGCUAUUUUAUCUUUUGAAAAGCAAGCUACAUAGAUUGUUCAUAAUCAUUUCUGCCCAUGUAUAAAGUACUUAAAACACAAUUUCUCAGUUACAUUUUUUAUAACCUUGCAUUAUGAUCAUACCCUUUUAAAAAUCACAUCAGGUUUUAUGGGCUACUAAUAUUUUUGAACAAAUAUUUAGGAAAUGAUUCAAGGAGAAAGGUGCUAUCAAAGGGAGUACUCUUAAUCUGGAAGGCUAGCACUUUCUCUCUGCACCAAAAACCAGUUGAUUUUUGGGAGAUGGCAUUUUGUAGUUGGAAUAUAAAUUAAAGUUUAGGAUUUCGUGUAAAUGUGCUGUUCACAUCAGGUUCAAGGAUGCAAGUCAUUUGUGUCUUGACACAGAUACUUUUGCUUUUAUUACAUUGUAUUGUUUUACUAAAUAUUGUUAAGCCAUUUCAACUUGCCAUCUUAGCAUUAAAUGGUGAGUAGUCCGAAGACAACUGAAGUCUUUCGUAUUGAUGGGAUCUUUAAGGAAGGCUUAAAUUUUGGUUAUUAAGAUCAGUAUUCAGUAUUGUCCAAUACAUUGGCUUUUCCCUCUAAAAUAUGAAAUAAAAUUAAAAUUGAUUACUCUGAUCAGCGUAAAGCCUGUGCAUUAACUUGCCUUUUUUGCUUGGUAUUUUACCUUUAGAUUUACUGUUGCCUGCCCUUCACUAAAAACAAAAUUUAUGUUAAAUACUUAAAGUGGCCUAUUUUCUGUGAAUUUGUAUGACUGGGAAGAUGUUCGGGAAAAGAAAGGAGCACUAUCUUUGAAAAACACAUUGACAUACUUCAUAAGGCUAUGUGAAGCCUGGAGUUAUGCAAACUGACCUCCCUUGAUAUUGUCUUGUAUAAAUGGCCUUCAAUUAAUAUAUCUAUAGUUAUAUAAUAAAACAAAAAAUAUAAAUUUAUUAUUAGAAAGUAUACCUGUCAGUUUACUUCUGGUUCAUCUCUUUUAAAGCAGGUUGGAUCAGUUUUACAAGGAAACCAAUGAUGUGCGUGCUCCUAAUGUUAAGGCAGUCUGGUUGGGAUUCCUUUAAGGUGAUUCCGAUGAACAGACAAGCAUGGGGACCACUGAUCUCGACAACUCUGUUACCUCAUGACUUCAAGAAAACCCAACUGCAGCUUCUCCUAGACUACCUGCUCUGCCCUCGGUGGGAGGUUCUCUGCUCUGCAGCUUCUCCAUCAACUUUGUCAGCUUUGAGCUUAAGCAAGGCCACUGCAUGAGAGCUCCCAGACUGCUGGCUGUCAACCAACAUGGAACUGGCAGAAAAAUAGAAAUCUUCUCUCAGGGAGGGAAAAGAACUAAGAUCCUGACAUCAGGAUGUCCCCAAGGAGUAGAACUGAGAUCUUGGCAUUAGGAAUCUCCCAAGGAAUAGACCCAGCUAGAUCACCUUAUGAAGACUACAGUCAACAAGCUACAGGUACGUACACAAGAGUUUCUAAUCAGCUUUCAGGUGCACAACUUUCGGUUUGAGCAAACAGCCAGGGAAUGCCAAAAGGACAAGGAAAGCCUCUAUGACCAAGAUAUUCAGAAAAAAAGAGAAGUUGUUACAUUCACAAAUGAGGAACAAGGUGAUACGUUAAAAAAAAAUUCAGAGAACAAAGAAACAAGCUUUUGGCAAUUAAAAUUAUCAUAGCAGAUAUGAAGGGGGUAUAGAAAAAGUAGAUUAUACAGAAGGUAGAGUUUAGGAAAUAUUUCAGAAAGUAAAAUAGAAAAGCGAAGACAUAGAAAAUAGAAGAGAAAAGGUAAAAAAAAUUAGAAAACCACUCUAGGAGAUUCAAUACCUAAAUAAUAGGAGUUCCAAAAAGAGGAAACAGAGAAAAUAGAGGGAAGGAAAUUAUAAAAAGUAAUUCAAGAGAAUUUCUCAGAACUGAAAGGCAUGCUUGCUCAGCAUGAUGGUCUAAAAUAACCCACACCAUAUCAUAUUAUGGCAUUUCAGAGCACUAGGGAGAAAAAUCCUACAGUCCCCGGAGGACUGGGGAAAAUGUUUCAUACCAGAAUCAAGAAUCAGAAUGGUACCAAAUGCCUAAAAUAUAACAGUAGAAGCUGUAAGACAAUGAAACAAUGUCUUUAAACUUCUGAAGGAAAAUGAUUUCCAAUUUAAAUUUCAUUUCCAUCUAAAAGUGUGAGGGCAGAAUGAAGAUCUCUGAAAAUCUGCCUCUCUUGCAUCUUUUCUCAGGAAGGUACAGGAGGAUGUACUCCACCAGAACAAGGAAGUGAAGUAAGAAAGAGUAAGAUCUUGAUCUAACAAACAAAGUAAAAAGGAGAGUCUCCAGAAUGGGUUAAAUGGAGACCUCCAGGUGACAGGCGUGCCUAGAAGGCAACAUGUUCAGGAUGGAACAGGUCACAAAGUUCCAGAAGAGAUUUCUUCAGGAUGAUGAAAUUGAUAAAAUAACUAAUUUGAAUAUUUCAAGUGGAAACUUGCACACUUUGGGAAGGAUUUGGAUUAUAUUAACAACAAGUCCAUAAAAGAAUAAGUAAAUUGACAAAAAGACCGCUGUUAAUUUCAGAGAAAACUAAAAAGCUGUGCAGGGCUUAUUAGAAUUAAGAACUUGUGGGCUUCCCUGGUGGUGCAGUGGUUAAGAAUCUGCCUGCCAAUGCAGGAGACAUGGGUUCGAGCCCUGCUCCAGGAAGAUCCCACAC